GCCCUUAGAGUUUGAUCCUGGCUCAGGACGAACGCUGGCGGCGUGCCUAACACAUGCAAGUCGAACGAAGCUACUUGGUUAGCUUGCUAACCGGGUAGACUUAGUGGCGGACGGGUGAGUAACACGUGGGUAACCUACCUGGGAGACCGGGAUAACAGCUCGAAAGGGCUGCUAAUACCGGAUGAAGUAUGAGUAAUUAGAUUUACUUGUACCAAAGGCGUUAAGUAGUGCUCCUGGAUGGGCCCGCGGCUCAUUAGCUAGUUGGUAGGGUAAAGGCUUACCAAGGCGAUGAUGGGUAGCCGGUCUGAGAGGAUGGUCGGCCACACUGGGACUGAGACACGGCCCAGACUCCUACGGGAGGCAGCAGUGGGGAAUAUUGCGCAAUGGGGGCAACCCUGACGCAGCGACGCCGCGUGAGUGAAGAAGGCCUUCGGGUUGUAAAGCUCUGUCAGGGGGGAAGAAGGUGACGGUACCCCCUGAGGAAGCCCCGGCUAACUACGUGCCAGCAGCCGCGGUAAGACGUGGGGGGCUAGCGUUGUCCGGAAUUACUGGUCGUAAAGGGUGUGUAGGCGGCCUAUCAAGUCAGUGGUGAAAGCCUCGGCUCAACUGAGGAAUUGCCUUGAAACUGGGGCUUGAG
rnacentral:rRNA from 1 species